CGGGGCAUGGCGCAGCCUGGUAGCGCACCUGCAUGGGGUGCAGGGGGUCGUAGGUUCAAAUCCUACUGUCCCGACCA
rnacentral:tRNA from 1 species